UUUCCGUAGGUGAACCUGCGGAAGGAUCAUUAAAGAAUUCGGGCUUUCGGGCCCUAUUCUCAACCCUAUGUAUGCUUAACUUUGUUGCUUUGGCGGGUUCGCCCGCCGAUGGACCUUUGAACCCUGGCUUUUGCAGUGAUGUCCGAGCCAUAUACGAGAAAUCGCAUAAAACUUUCAACAACGGAUCUCUUGGUUCCAGGAUCGAUGAAGAACGCAGC
rnacentral:misc_RNA from 1 species